UACGUAGGGUGCAAGCGUUGUCCGGAAUUAUUGGGCGUAAAGAGCUCGUAGGCGGUUUGUUGCGUCGGCUGUGAAAUCCCGGGGCUCAACCUCGGGUCUGCAGUCGAUACGAGCAAACUAGAGUGUUGCAGGGGAGACUGGAAUUCCUGGUGUAGCGGUGAAAUGCGCAGAUAUCAGGAGGAACACCGGUGGCGAAGGCGGGUCUCUGGGCCGAUACUGACGCUGAGGAGCGAAAGCGUGGGGAGCGAACAGG
rnacentral:rRNA from 1 species